GAGAACAGGGAACAGGGAGCGAUGGCGUCAGCACGCGGGUCAACCGGUUAAGCCGAGUAACAAACACGCUGAGUGGUGGACAGAGAUGUCAAGAGCGGGAGGGUGCGCGAAGGUUCUGGCGAGUGGCAACCCCAAAGGCCGCGGUGGCACCCCAAGCCCCCCGGUGCCGCGUGCCGUGCGUACCUGGCGCUGGGAGUCGUUGAAGUAGGCGGGCACGGUCACCACGGCCUUCUUGACCUCGCGGUCAGCGCCCAGGAAAGCCUGAGCGGUCUCCUUCAUCUUGAUAAGCACCAUCGAGGAGAUCUCCUCAGCCUUGAAGACCUUCUCCUCGUUCUUGUAGGAGACUGCGAGCGCAAAGAGAUAGGUUGUGAGCAACUAAUUUCGCACACAGCACGGACCGCUUUGCGAGCUGAACUUACCAACGAUCUCGGGCACAUCGUGCGCGCCGGCGCGAACCUGGAAAGGCCACAGCUUAAUGUCCGCCUGGACAAUGGGGUCCGAGAACUUGCGGCCAAUCAGGCGCUUGGCGUCGAACACCGUGUGGCGCGGGUUCAUAGCGACCUGUGGAAGGCAGGUCGGCGAAGGCGGGUAAGUGGCUGCGCGCGCUGAAGUCGGCCCGCCCAAUUCGCAACGUACCUGGUUCUUGGCGGCAUCACCAAUCAGACGCUCAGUGUCCGUGAAGGCCACGUACGAGGGAGUGGUGCGGUUGCCCUGAUCGUUGGCAAUAAUCUCCACGCGGUCAUUCUGCCAGACACCCACGCAGCUGCGAGCAUUGAAGCACGCCAAGGGUCAGCUGGUGUCCAAGAGACGUUGAAGGUGCAGAGGGAGCUCACCUGUACGUGGUGCCCAGGUCAAUACCGAUAGCGGGGGCCUCCUUGCCCAUGUUUACUGACUCUUAAGCGAGUUGAGUGGUUAUGUAUAGCGGCAGAAUAGUCGCGUAUGUAUAAGUG
rnacentral:lncRNA from 1 species